CACUCAACCUCUGUGGACAUCCUGCUAGUUUCCUAACAGCGCACAGUGUUAAAUCCAGUGUGAAUUGUUGGUCCUUGCUCUCCUAUCCCAGAGAAAAGUCGUGAAAAGCUGAGGGGGUGACCGCAUCCACAACUUGAGACUUCCCCUAGUGUUUGUGUUGUGGGAUCGGUGGCUCCAGCAGGACUCAGCUUUUGUUGAGUCGAAUUACAGUAAAUGAAACGGGACAAACACAGAAAGCAGAGACAUCAGCAUCAGGGAGAAAUGCUUCAGUGCCGCUGCAGACGACGCAGCUCGGGGUUUGGUGUAAAUGUACGGAUGCUCCUGCAGAAAAGCUGGAACUAAGGAAACAUGCCGAUUAAUUUUCAGGUCCCUUUGCCAGUUUCUCGUGUCCCUUAACAGUGAAGUGGAAACAAUCUGCCGUGAAGAAGCUCAUGUCAAGUUUCCCGUCCUGCAGUAAAGAGAGAAGAUGUAAAAAAAGAAAAUGAUAAAGGCAAUAAAAAAU